AGGCAUAAACUUAAUCUAGCUGAAUCUAUGCAAUAACUGAAGCUUAAUAGUCGUGGACUCACCAAGUAAGUGUACGCAGAUUUAUUAUCCUUAUCAACUUUUACACAUGCAGAUAAGUCUUCAACAGCAGCAGUGAAAUCCUUAAAUUUAUAAUUUACAAUUCCUGCACUAGUUUUGUCAUCAUGAUCAAAUAUUUCUCUGACACCAGAAUAUUGCAACUUAAAAGGGUUUAAAGUAGAAAUCAAGAUUUCAGCUUCCAUCAUUAAGUUAAUGUGUUCAACUAAGAGAUUUAGAAGCAAUAAUAAGAUGACAGGUAUUGGCAGCAGAAGCCCACCUGUAACUACUUACCGUUUUCCGAAGUGUUAAUGCACACAAGAUGCACCGCUUUUGAACUUUAUGAACAAUCACAAGGUAAAUAGUAAUUGACAAUUUGAUGGCCGAACACAUAUAGGUGUGCCUUUUGGAGCCUAAUUCUCUUUGGUAUAAAAGGGAAUAGGAGCAUGACCCUCAACCAAAUGUGUGGGAUGUCAUGGUCGGCAAAAUGUCAUACAUAAAAUCCCAGGAAAUUCACCUUCCAUGCAUAUGCCUUCCCAAGAUUGUAUCAGUUCUCUUCUCAGGAUCUGGGGAAGUUUUAUGUGUAACAAUUUUUUUUUUUUUUUUUUUGUAGAUUUCACAAAGUUUACAUUGUUAUUUCUCCCAUCCAGAACACUCAAAUCUCUCAAUUCUAUACUGUUGGUGGUGAUUCUGUUUCAUGAAUUUUUGCUCCUUCCAAGGUUGUCAAUUGAGAAGGUCAACUUCUCUCCACUAUGUGCAGAAUGAUUUUUAAGAUCUUCACCAUUCACAGGAUAUGAGAAUUUGGAGCUUGGUUGUCACCUUUAAAUCCUUCUCUAUUUCACUUUCC
rnacentral:lncRNA from 1 species